rnacentral:tRNA from 1 species
GAGAUUCGGGCUCAGUUGGUUAGAGUGCUGGUCUGUCACGCCAGAAGUCGCGGGUUCGAACCCCGUUUUCC